AUUACAACCACGACGUGGAAUAACAUGCUUUCUGACAAAGAUCAGGAAAAUCAAUAUGAACCCUUUACGAAGUCGCAUAGUAUACAAUGUGUGGACAUGUCAAAUAUCGACUCCAAUCAACGAAAUCAAGUGGACAUUGCACCAACCUUAUUGUUGAAAGCAGAAAAAUCAUUGUCAAUAACCAGGAAGCAGAUCUUCCAAACGAUAAAGAUAUGAGAAACCAUCUGGAUUAUGAUCUUAUGCAAUCAUCCUCUAAGAUUUAUAUUUGACUCACUUUAGUCCUUUGCCACCAUGGAUGAUCUAGACAACCAAAUCAUGCCUGAAAUUCUUACAGUACACUUGUAGUCAUUCAGCCCUCAUCUGUUGAGAUCAAUUUUUCUUCCUUGCAAAACCUCAGGAUCUAAGUGCAAUGAAUAAUAUGAAACUGUAGAUGUUAUCAUAUUUCAUUGCUUUAUUCAAGUGGCCCAUAUUCAUUUAUUAAUAGCAAUGAACUGAUUGUCUCAAAAAGCAUUUUUUGGCUCUCAUCUUUGCAAGCCUUCUCUUGCUCGCUCUUCAUCAUCUCUCUGGGUUUUUUGCUAUUAUUUGCUGGAUUGAUGGUUGCUGUCGUGUAUGCUGGUUUUAUUCAAUCAAG